UUGAACGCUGGCGGCAGGCCUAACCCCUGCCAGUCGAGCGGAUGAAGGGAGCUUGCUCCUGGAUUCAGCGGCGGACGGGUGAGUAAUGCCUAGGAAUCUGCCUGGUAGUGGGGGAUAACGUCCGGAAACGGGCGCUAAUACCGCAUACGUCCUGAGGGAGAAAGUGGGGGAUCUUCGGACCUCACGCUAUCAGAUGAGCCUAGGUCGGAUUAGCUAGUUGGUGGGGUAAAGGCCUACCAAGGCGACGAUCCGUAACUGGUCUGAGAGGAUGAUCAGUCACACUGGAACUGAGACACGGUCCAGACUCCUACGGGAGGCAGCAGUGGGGAAUAUUGGACAAUGGGCGAAAGCCUGAUCCAGCCACGCCGCGUGUGUGAAGAAGGUCUUCGGAUUGUAAAGCACUUUAAGUUGGGAGGAAGGGCAGUAAGUUAAUACCUUGCUGUUUUGACGUUACCAACAGAAUAAGCACCGGCUAACUUCGUG
rnacentral:rRNA from 1 species